GCCCUCGUGGAUCAUGGUUGAUUGUCUUCAUCUUAUAAGAUGUUAUGGAACGAUUUAUAACUUAUCCCAUAUAUAAUCAGUCCUGAAAGACUCGGAAGAUGUCGGAGGUUCGAAUCCUACCGAGGGCA